UACGUAGGGGCCGAGCGUUGUCCGGAUUUAUUGGGCGUAAAGCGCUCGCAGGUGGUUCGUUGCGUCGUGCGUGAAAGACCCCGGCUCAACUGGGGGAUGUCGUGCGAUACGGGCGGACUGGAGGCCAGUAGGGGGAUGCGGAAUUCCGGGUGUAGUGGUGGAAUGCGUAGAGAUCCGGAGGAACACCAGCGGCGAAGGCGGCGUCCUGGACUGGUCCUGACACUCAGGAGCGAAAGCGUGGGGAGCGAUCCGG
rnacentral:rRNA from 1 species